rnacentral:lncRNA from 1 species
CAGAUUUGUUGUUGGGGAUAGAUAAGGAAAGAAGAAAAAGGCUCUGGUGAGAAACCCAUUGUACCUUCUGGAUAUGAUCACUACCCAAUUUUAUCAGUGUCAUUGAUCACUAACCCAGUGCCUCGUAUGGUGCCAGGCACAGAGUUACUCCAAGAAUGUACAAUAAUGGCUGGAUUCUCUUUCUCCCUGUGCAACUCUUCAUGCAUGUGACUGAACUUAUAUUAAGUGUCUGAAGGAGGUUCGUUCUGAGGAUCUGGGACAUGAUGGGUGCUGAAGCUUCUACUCAAGAUUUGAAGGGCAGCUGUCCUCAGGAGACCCCUGGCACUUCCCUCCAUGGUGGGAUGUGAUGCCUGAUUCCAGUGAGUUCAUAGAGCUGAACAAAAGUACGUUGUGGAAUAGCUCCUGUGAGGUUCACAACAUAGUCCGGAAGAUGAGAAACUACUUUUUUUAGUAACCUGGAUUCCCAUCUAAGAGAUGCCUUACUUUAUCGUAAAGCAAUGAGUUGUUCACUUGAGGAGGGAACUUCAUGUUUAACAUGUAUUUGCAACAAAUUUACAUACAUUUUCUGCCUGUAUGAAUAGUUGUCAGUGAUGCCCAUGAAUUUCUCAGAUGGAUGUUGAAGUAUACAGUUAGAAGGUUAGAAGAUCUUCCUAGCAAUCUGUGAUUACGGGAGGCAGCAGAUGGCUGAAAUUCUGAUCCGAUGUGGCUGGUUAAUGCAUGAUCUGAAAACCCCUGCACUGGUGAUUUUG